CUCCAGACUCCUACGGGAGGCAGCAGUGGGGGAUAUUGCACAAUGGGGGAAACCCUGAUGCAGCGACGCCGCGUGGGCGAAGAAGUAUUUCGGUAUGUAAAGCCCUAUCAGCAGGGAAGAAGAAAUGACGGUACCUGAGUAAGAAGCACCGGCUAAAUACGUGCCAGCAGCCGCGGUAAUACGUAUGGUGCAAGCGUUAUCCGGAUUUACUGGGUGUAAAGGGAGCGUAGACGGCGAUGCAAGCCAGAUGUGAAAGCCCGGGGCUCAACCCCGGGACUGCAUUUGGAACUGUGUGGCUGGAGUGUCGGAGAGGCAGGCGGAAUUCCUAGUGUAGCGGUGAAAUGCGUAGAUAUUAGGAGGAACACCAGUGGCGAAGGCGGCCUGCUGGACGAUGACUGACGUUGAGGCUCGAAAGCGUGGGGAGCAAGCAGGAUUAGAUACCCGCGUAGG
rnacentral:rRNA from 1 species